UACGUAGGGUGCAAGCGUUAAUCGGAAUUACUGGGCGUAAAGCGUGCGCAGGCGGUUUUGUAAGUCUGACGUGAAAUCCCCGGGCUCAACCUGGGAAUUGCGUUGGAGACUGCAAGGCUGGAGUCUGGCAGAGGGGGGUAGAAUUCCACGUGUAGCAGUGAAAUGCGUAGAUAUCAGGAGGAAUACCCGUGGCGAAGGCGGCUUCCUGGGGCACCACUGACGCUGGAGAAAGCGGAAAGCUAGGGGAGCAAACGG
rnacentral:rRNA from 1 species